AUGAACGCUGGCGGCGUGCCUAAUACAUGCAAGUCGAGCGAACGGACGAGAAUCUUGCUUCUCUGAUGUUAGCGGCGGACGGGUGAGUAACACGUGGAUAACCUACCUAUAAGACUGGGAUAACUUCGGGAAACCGGAGCUAAUACCGGAUAAUAUUUUGAACCGCAUGGUUCAAAAGUGAAAGACGGUCUUGCUGUCACUUAUAGAUGGAUCCGCGCUGCAUUAGCUAGUUGGUAAGGUAACGGCUUACCAAGGCAACGAUGCAUAGCCGACCUGAGAGGGUGAUCGGCCACACUGGAACUGAGACACGGUCCAGACUCCUACGGGAGGCAGCAGUAGGGAAUCUUCCGCAAUGGGCGAAAGCCUGACGGAGCAACGCCGCGUGAGUGAUGAAGGUCUUCGGAUCGUAAAACUCUGUUAUUAGGGAAGAACAUAUGUGUAAGUAACUGUGCACAUCUUGACGGUACCUAAUCAGAAAGCCACGGCUAACUACGUG
rnacentral:rRNA from 1 species